GACCGCGUGGCUCAGUUGGCAGAGCAUUGGGCUAGUAUUCCAAAGGUCGUAGGUUCGAUUCCCACCGUGGCCA